rnacentral:lncRNA from 12 species
UUUAAUUUUGAAAUAUAAAACUGAAACUGUUCCAAGGGACAGUAGGAAAACUUUUGUGAAUAAUAAUGAUACAACUUUGCUUAUUGCCAUUUGCUGUCAUUGCAGGUUUGACUCAGGAAACUAAGUCAUGCAUAGCUGAAAUAUCCUUUCUUGUGAUACUAAUGUGAUCAGUUAUUGAAUGAGAGGCAGCUCACCUACACAACCACUUUCUAGCGAGGAGCAAGUGAAUAAUGGGUUGAAAGCUGCCAUCCCCUAGCUGGCUGUACAGAAAACUUGUUAAGCCUGCAUGUCUUUAAGAUUCCCUUUACAAAGGAGAUAAAAUAACAACAGAGACUCUCACCAACCACCACCUUCUCCAAGGAUUGCUUUGGGAGGCUGAGGUCAUCUGCACUUGGAGAAAUCCUGAACUAACUGACAUUGUAAAUCUUAUUAAUGGUGUUCACUCAGUUACUCAGUUCAGUCAACACAGAGUGCUUCAGGAGCAGAACGCAGUGUUUUUGUGUAGUCUUGCCGUUGCUGCAUUCACUUCCUCUGGAAAUACAUUUAAUUGUAAAGAGAAAGGUGUGCAUUCGCUCCCUGUGGAAAUACGUUUAAUUGGCUGGGGCACUGUUGCGAGGGCGCUUUUUUUCGGGUACAUAAAUGGCAAUAAUGUAAGAAUCCAUGAAGUCAGGUGCAAACAGGAGUAGGGGCACAGUCCGGGCUCACCCGCGGGCAGGGCCGCUCCGCUCCAG